rnacentral:lncRNA from 1 species
AAAAAUAAAUGAAAGUUGAGGAGGCUCUAAUCAGAAAACAUAAAGUUUAGGGGCAUAUUUCAAAAUGCUCUGCAGUUGAGGAGUUCUCCAUACAUUUAUGCCUUAGUUUUAUCUUACGUAAGCAGGUGUAGAGUAGAGCUGUAUAUUUCUACCCUUUCUUGGUCUGAAUUUGAAUAGGCUGAACUGCCAUACUGAAGCAGAAGUAAUUAAUACAAAACCAUCUUGCUCACUUGAAUUAUAUUAAGAUAGCGGUGAACAUUUUGUCCAGAAUCAUGUGCAUGCUUAAUAAUAUUUCUUUAUGAGAUCUAACAAUUUUGAAAUUUAGCAUGUUUGGUUACACGUAAAAAAUUCUUGUAGUGAUAAAAAUUUAUUUGUGAUCUGAAAACAA